AGCUGAGUCAGCCAGGCACCCCCGGAUGCUGUACUUGUAUUAUAUUCACAAUAACCCUGAGGCCAUGUGAGAACAUCGCAAGAAGGCAGCCAUCUGCGAGCAAGGAAGAGAGUCCUCACUGGGAACGGAAUCGGCCAGCGCUUCGAACUCGGACUUCAGCCUCCAGAACUAGAGAGAGCACAAGCAGGGGGAGCUAC